GGAUAAGGAAAGUAAAAAAGGGCGCAUGGCGGAUGCCUUGGCUCUCGGAGGCGAUGAAGGACGUGAUAAGCUGCGAUAAGCUUUGGGGAGGUGCAAAUGACCUUUGAUCCAGAGAUUUCCGAAUGGGACAACCCAAUAUCUUGAAGAGGUAUUAUCUUACUAUGUAAGAGGCUAACGCAGGGAACUGAAACAUCUUAGUACCUGCAGGAAAAGAAAAUAAACAAUGAUUCCCCCAGUAGUGGCGAGCGAACGGGGAACAGCCCAAACCAUCCAUGUUACGGCAUGGGUGGGGUUGUAGGACUACGCCGUUGCAUGAAGACAUCAGAGAAGAACUUUCUGGAAAGAAAGACCAUAGAGCAUGACAGUUGCGUAUUCGAAUGUUGUCGAAGCAUAGUAGUAUCCUGAGUAGCGCGGAGCACGAGGAAUUCUGCGUGAAUCUGCCGGGACCAUCCGGUAAGGCUAAAUACUCCCGAGAGACCGAUAGCGAACCAGUACCGUGAGGGAAAGGUGAAAAGCACUUCGAACAGAAGAGUGAAAUAGUUCCUGAAACCGUGCGCCUACAAGCGGUCGGAGCUCGUUAAUGAGUGACGGCGUGCCUUUUGCAUAAUGAACCUACGAGUUGCCUUUGCCGGCAAGGUUAAGUGUGACGACACACGUAUCCGAAGCGAAAGCGAGUCUGAACAGGGCGUAUAGUCGGCAGUGGCAGACGCGAAACCAAGUGAUCUACCCUUGGCCAGGUUGAAGGCUGGGUAACACCAGCUGGAGGACCGCACCAAUAAGCGUUGAAAAGCUUCUGGAUGAGCUGAGGGUAGGGGUGAAAGGCUAAUCAAACUUGGAGAUAGCUCGUACUCCCCGAAAUGCAUUUAGGUGCAGCCUUGCGGGUUACUGAUGUGAGGUAGAGCGACUGAUAAGAUGCGAGGGCUUCACCGCCUAUCAAGUCUUGACAAACUCCGAAUGCGCAUCAGUUCUACCGCAGGAGUGAGGGCAUGGGUGCUAAGGUCCGUGCCCGAGAGGAGAAGAAUCCGGACCACCUGCUAAGGUCCCGAAAUGACAGCUAAGUUAAACUAACGAAGUCUGACUGCUAAGACAGCUAGGAUGUUGGCUUGGAAGCAGCCAUUCAUUUAAAGAGUGCGUAACAGCUCACUAGUCGAGGAGUCGGGCGUGGAUAAUAAUCGGGUAUCAAGUUGUCUACCGAAGCAGUGGGAUCAUUUAUAUGAUCGGUAGGGGAGCAUUCCAGUCAGCGUCGAAGGCGUACCGUGAGGUAUUCUGGAGCGUCUGGAAAAGCAAAUGUAGGUAUAAGUAACGAUAAAGGGGGCGGGAAACCCCCUCGCCGAAAGACUAAGGUUUCCUGAUCAACGCUAAUCGGAUCAGGGUCAGUCGGGUCCUAAGGCUCAGCCGAACGGCGAUGCCGAUGGCAGAAACGGUUAAUAUUCCGUUACUACCUUCAGGAGUGACGUGGAGACGCAGUAGUGACAGUGCCGCCAUCUGACGGAAUAGAUGGUUGAAGGGUGUAGGAGUCGAUCAUGGCAGGCAAAUCCACCAUGAGAUCCGAACCUGACAGUAUGCCGCGUCCUUCGGGACAAGGCAAUAGUGCGCGUAAGCAUGCUGCCGAGAAAAUCCGCUAAACUUAAUCCUGCAGGUACCCGUACCGCAAACGGACACACGUAGUCGGGAUGAAUAUUCUAAGGCGCUUGAGUGAUUCACGGUUAAGGAACUAGGCAAACUGACCCUGUAACUUCGGGAUAAAGGGUCCCUACCCUUUUAUGGGAGGGCGCAGAGAAUCGGUCCAGGCAACUGUUUAACAAAAACACAGGGCUGUGCCAAAUCGAAAGAUCCAGUAUACAGCCUGACACCUGCCCGGUGCUGGAAGGUUAAGAGGAGAUGUCAUCGAUAAGAGAAGCGUUGAAUUGAAGCCCCAGUAAACGGCGGCCGUAACUAUAACGGUCCUAAGGUAGCGAAAUUCCUUGUCGGGUAAGUUCCGACCUGCACGAAUGGUGUAAUGAUCUGGACGCUGUCUCAACCGUGAGCUCAGUGAAAUUGUAGUAUCGGUGAAGAUGCCGAUUACCCGCGAUGGGACGAANCUACCCUUUUAUGGGAGGGCGCAGAGAAUCGGUCCAGGCAACUGUUUAACAAAAACACAGGGCUGUGCCAAAUCGAAAGAUCCAGUAUACAGCCUGACACCUGCCCGGUGCUGGAAGGUUAAGAGGAGAUGUCAUCGAUAAGAGAAGCGUUGAAUUGAAGCCCCAGUAAACGGCGGCCGUAACUAUAACGGUCCUAAGGUAGCGAAAUUCCUUGUCGGGUAAGUUCCGACCUGCACGAAUGGUGUAAUGAUCUGGACGCUGUCUCAACCGUGAGCUCAGUGAAAUUGUAGUAUCGGUGAAGAUGCCGAUUACCCGCGAUGGGACGAAAAGACCCCGUGAACCUUUACUAUAGCUUAUCAUUGAAUCUGGGCACGUGAUGUGUAGGAUAGGUCGGAGGCUUUGAAGCAGGUACGCCAGUAUUUGUGGAGCCGCUGUUGAAAUACGACCCUUUAUUUGUUUGGAUUCUAACCCGUGGAACGGGGACAUUGAUUGGUGGGUAGUUUGACUGGGGUGGUCGCCUCCAAAAGCGUAACGGAGGCUUCUAAAGGUGCCCUCCGGCCGAUUGGUAACCGGCCUUAGAGUGUAAUGGCAUAAGGGCGCUUGACUGGGAGACUAACAAGUCGAUCAGGUAGGAAACUAGAGCAUAGUGAUCCGGUGUUUCCGUAUGGAAGGGACAUCGCUCAAAGGAUAAAAGGUACUCCGGGGAUAACAGGCUGAUCCCUCCCAAGAGCUCAUAUCGACGGAGUGGUUUGGCACCUCGAUGUCGGCUCGUCACAUCCUGGGGCUGGAGAAGGUCCCAAGGGUUGGGCUGUUCGCCCAUUAAAGUGGCACGCGAGCUGGGUUCAGAACGUCGUGAGACAGUUCGGUCUCUAUCUAUCGUGGGCGCAUGAAAUUUGCGUGGCUCUGACACUAGUACGAGAGGACCGUGUUGGACAGACCUCUGGUUUGCCGGUUGUGCCGCCAGGUGCAUUGCCGGGUAUCUAAGUCUGGAUCGGAUAAGUGCUGAAAGCAUCUAAGUACGAAGCCGGCCACAAGAUUAGAUUUCUCAGGGUCGUUGUAGACUACGACGUUGAUAGGAUGCAGGUGUAAAGAUGGAGACAUCAAAGCCGAGCAUUACUAAUUGCCCGUUCACUUUCCUUA
rnacentral:rRNA from 1 species